GACGAACGCUGGCGGCGUGCUUAACACAUGCAAGUCGAACGGAAAGGCCCUGCUUUUGUGGGGUGCUCGAGUGGCGAACGGGUGAGUAACACGUGAGUAACCUGCCCUUGACUUUGGGAUAACUUCAGGAAACUGGGGCUAAUACCGGAUAGGAUCUCCUGCUGCAUGGUGGGGGUUGGAAAGUUUCGGCGGUUGGGGAUGGACUCGCGGCUUAUCAGCUUGUUGGUGGGGUAGUGGCUUACCAAGGCUUUGACGGGUAGCCGGCCUGAGAGGGUGACCGGCCACAUUGGGACUGAGAUACGGCCCAGACUCCUACGGGAGGCAGCAGUGGGGAAUAUUGCACAAUGGGCGGAAGCCCGAUGCAGCAACGCCGCGUGCGGGAUGACGGCCUUCGGGUUGUAAACCGCUUUCGCCUGUGACGAAGCGUGAGUGACGGUAAUGGGUAAAGAAGCACCGGCUAACUACGUG
rnacentral:rRNA from 1 species